CGUUGACGGUACCGUAAGAAUAAGGACCGGCUAACUCCGUGCCAGCAGCCGCGGUAAUACGGAGGGUCCGAGCGUUAUCCGGAAUCAUUGGGUUUAAAGGGUCCGUAGGCGGGCCUGUAAGUCAGGGGUGAAAGUUUGUGGCUCAACCAUAAAAUUGCCUUUGAUACUGCAGGUCUUGAGUCAUGGUGGGGUUGCCGGAACAUGUGGUGUAGCGGUGAAAUGCAUAGAUAUCACAUAGAACACCGAUCGCGAAGGCAGGUGACCAACCAUGUACUGACGCUGAUGGACGAAAGCGUGGGUAGCGAACGGGAUUAGAUACCCCGGUAGUCCACGCCGUAAACGAUGGAUACUAGCUGUGGGGACUUCGGUCUCCGUGGCCAAGCGAAAGUGAUAAGUAUCCCACCUGGGGAGUACGUUCGCAAGAAUGAAACUCAAAGGAAUUGACGGGGGCCCGCACAAGCGGUGGAGCAUGUGGUUUAAUUCGAUGAUACGCGAGGAACCUUACCAGGGCUUAAAUGCAGGCUGCAUGGGGUAGAGAUACCCCUUUCUUCGGACCGCCUGCAAGGUGCUGCAUGGUUGUCGUCAGCUCGUGCCGUGAGGUGUCAGGUUAAGUCCUAUAACGAGCGCAACCCCUACCGUUAGUUGCCAGCAUGUCAAGAUGGGGACUCUAACGGGACUGCCGGUGCAAACCGUGAGGAAGGUGGGGACGACGUCAAAUCAUCACGGCCCUUACGUCCUGGGCUACACACGUGCUACAAUGGCCGGUACAGAGGGAAGCCACCCCGCAAGGGGGCGCGGAUCUACAAAACCGGUCACAGUUCGGAUCGGGGUCUGCAACUCGACCCCGUGAAGCUGGAAUCGCUAGUAAUCGGAUAUCAGCCAUGAUCCGGUGAAUACGUUCCCGGGCCUUGUACACACCGCCCGUCAAGCCA
rnacentral:rRNA from 1 species